AACGUCGUGAGACAGUUCGGUCCCUAUCUACCGUGGGCGCUGGAAAUUUGAGAGGAUCUGCUCCUAGUACGAGAGGACCAGAGUGGACGAACCUCUGGUGUACCGGUUGUGACGCCAGUCGCAUCGCCGGGUAGCUAUGUUCGGAAGGGAUAACCGCUGAAAGCAUCUAAGCGGGAAGCCUACCUCAAGAUAAGAUUUCCCUAGGACUUUAUGUCCUCUAAAGAGCCGUUCGAGACUAGGACGUUGAUAGGUUGGAUGUGGAAGCAUAGUGAUAUGUGAAGCUGACCAAUACUAAUUGCUCGUGAGGCUUGACUAUACAACACCCAAGCAGUUG
rnacentral:rRNA from 1 species